CCAGUUUGCAGCAAUUUUAAGAAUUUGCUUAGAUUUUUCUCCAAAGUUCAAUGUCCUGGGAAACAGAGCUAGUAUAGCUCAAACAAUCUUCAAAUUUCAAGUAGCUGCAGAAAACAUUAGAGGAGUCAAGAAAAAGAAAAAGAAAAUUAAAACAACAACAACAACAAUAACAAAAUUGACAGAAAGGAAAGACAGAAGGCCUGAGAGGAACCAGAAAUUUGUUCUUCUAAAAGAAAAAAAGAAAAAAAAUGAUAGGUCCGCAAGUCCCUCUGGCCUCCAGAUGAAUUGGACAUCAAUGAGAAGUUAUUGAGGCAGAAUGCCAAAACAAGUCUUCCCAACGGUGCAAAUAAAUUAUAAUAAAUAUGAUAUACUUUAAAAUAUAUGUGUUCUUAAAUAAUUCAGUGUUUUUUCUGAUUCUGAGUUUUUAAGCAAUGUCUUUAACUGCUCUAAAGUCAUUUACCAAAGAUAAAUAUCGUGCUUUCAUUAAAUAGUUUUCCUUGUUUUUUCUCUAUCAUUACAAUUAAAAGUCCUACAAAAUAUGCAAAUUUAUUUACAGAAAAACAGAGCCGGCAUCAUUUAAACAUCCCUGUUUUUCAAAAUUCCUUGUAAACAGUUUCAGAAAUUCUUCAAAGAUUGUUUAUUUUUCUCUCUCUCUUUUUUUUAAGGUUUUUGUGUGUGUGUGUGUUGUCUAGUUGUUUUAAGAUGAAAGUUCCCAGUUCUCCCUUGCCCGGAAAGUCUCUGGAACAAGCAUGGAAGGCGGCGAGUGAAGCGGGAGGUGUCGAGGGCUUGCGGAAGGCAGGCGGGCGGGCGAGCGAGCGAGCGAGCGCGGCUCCCGGCUCCCCUCCCGGGGCAAAGCGAGAGGCGCGGGCGGCAGCGGCGGCCGGCGAGGGGCCCUUCCUGGCCCGUGGCGCGCAGCCUGCAGGUCUGGGAGAGGCCGGCCUGGCCCUCGGGACGACGGCGUCCGACAGCACUCGAGGGGAGAAGGGAUUGAUGCUCAGUCUAAACUCUACAAAAGUACAGUCCUACAACAUCUGGGAUUUUAGCAGUAACGCUAACUUCUAUAGGUUUUUUUUUCCUUUUUUAUUAUUUUUUUUUAUUUUUUGCUUUCCUCUAAUUUUUCUUCUAUUAUAUAGGUAUUUUAAACUUUUCCUUUUUAAAAUUCUGUACAACUAUUAUGAUUUUAAGAGGGGGAAGAGAAGCAUUUACAGACUUUUCACAAUUACCUUGCCUUGGAAGUUUGUUUCCCUCCCGUGUUCUCACACUUCACAGUUAAUGAGUUUUAAUACUUUUGUUGCUUUCCCCAAACAUCCAGCAAUGUGUUCAUCUUAACAGCUCCAUCCAGACAUAUAAUACAGAAAACCAUAGGAAAGUGUCAUAGACUUCAAUGAGGGUAAUCAAAGCGCCUCUCAAAGUAUCAAAGAACUAGUAUCUUGCUGUUUCAAAAGCAUUGAAGCAUUAUUAUUUUUUCUUUUUUUUCUUUUUUUUCUUUUUUUGUUUUUUUUUAAGUUUUUUUUUAUUACAUUUUUCAUAGAAUCGCUCUAGGCUGUUACAAGAACAGCCAGGAGGCAGGAAGGAGGUGGUUCUCCAUUCCCCCUCUAUUUGACAUAGAGCUACACAUCUGCAAUAAAAAGUUUGGUCCUUUGGUCCCUAAAUAGCUAAAGGAAUGACAGAGAUGCUCAGUGGCGGCCUCCUGGCCUCACCCGGGACCAGGCCCCACAGCACGCUUGCCCCGCCUGCCUCAGGCGCCCACAGGCUGGAAAAGCCCAGGGUUCGGUGAGCAGCAGCGUCUCCUCCCAGUGCCCAGCCCUUCAGCCUCCCCGUCUGGUCUCACGUUACUUUGUUUUAAAGUUGCCUUUUUUGUGUUUUUGUUUUCUCAUUUUUCUUCGUCGUCGUCUUCUUUAUGUCAUGUAUAUUUUUUCCCCAAACACGUGCCCUCUGAACUCCAUAGACGCUAUACUUUCCUUGAAGAAAUGUUACAGUCACACAGAGUGUCUGGAGUCUUCAGCUUGACUGAUAUUGGCUGAUAUGUCAAAGGUGUCAUCCAACAGUUCUCAUUUAUAAAUAGAGAGAGAAAGAGGUUUUUUUUUUUUUUUUUUUAAUGUAGCCCGUUCAGCAUCCUGCCCUAAAAUGAAGAAAAUCAGGGCUGAUUAAGCCAAAAGAGAAAACACAAAUGCAAUCAAACACCAAUAGGAA
rnacentral:lncRNA from 1 species